rnacentral:rRNA from 1 species
CCUACGGGGGACAGCAGUGGGGGAUAUUGCACAAUGGGGGGAACCCUGAUGCAGCGACGCCGCGUGGGUGAAGGAGCGUUUCGGCGCGUAAAGCCCUAUCGGCAGGGAAGAAGGAGGACGGUACCUGACUAAGAAGCCCCGGCUAACUACGUGCCAGCAGCCGCGGUAAUACGUAGGGGGCAAGCGUUAUACGGAUUUACGGGGUGUAAAGGGGGCGCAGACGGCAGCGCAAGCCAGGAGUGAAAGCCGGGGGCCCAACCCCGGGGCUGCUCUGGGAAUUGCGCGGCUGGAGGGCAGGAGGGGCAGGCGGAAUUCCUGGGGUAGCGGUGAAAGGCGUAGAUAUCAGGAGGAACACCGGUGGCGAAGGCGGCCUGCUGGACUGCGACUGACGUUGAGGCCCGAAAGCGUGGGGAGCAAACAGGAUUAGAUACCCUUGUAGUC